rnacentral:lncRNA from 1 species
UGUGCAACUGAGCCUUUUGUGUCAAUCUCCCAUCCUCUCCUGCCUUGUGAAGUUUCUGGGGUGGCCGAGUUGGAACCAACUUCAAACCCUCUUAUGUCUCUGAUUCACUUUCCAAACCCUCCCUCUCCCACUCCGUGGUCAGCCUUUUGUAUCACACCCUGCAAACAUUUUUUUCUUUUGCGCUCCUUUGGGACUCCUCCCUCUUCUCUCCCUCCAUCUCCCAACUCCUCUGCACUGCCUUUCCCCUUUAAUCUCUGCUGACCACCUUUUGUGAAUGCUCCAUCCGCUCCUCCCCCCGUCACGACUGUCCUCUUGCGGGUACCUACCUGUGUGCUCUGCAGCCACACGCACCUCCUGGUUGCCCCUCAGAUGUCUUGGUUCUGUCUGUCUGAUGUCGCCAGCCUCCACCCGGGGCCUGUGAGCUGUGCAUGUCUUCAAGCUCUUUGUUACUAUUCCUCCUUAAUUUAUAAUGCUAGGCAAAUAACAACACACAAUAAAAGAUGAUAUCAGCUGUGUUUCUCGCCUGCAGCCUCCAGAAGUGUUAUCUUAGACCCCAUCAUUGCAACAAAGAAAUCUCUCAGUUGAGUGAGUGAAAACCAGUUACAGGACAGGAGGAGAAAACUUCUGCGCUUCCAAAAUUCCGCAGCCCCAGCUGCCCUCCGGCGGCUCCCCCUUGUGGGAGAUGUGGGGCAUAGCAAGGCAGUGCCCAGUUGGGACGGUGCCUGGGUGGGAGGAGGGCGAGAGAAGAGUGCUCGCACUCAGGGAUGUGCCCCAGAGGGCGUGGGGUCCGGUUCCGGCCACGAAGAACAGCCUCUGUGUGAGUUGCAGGACUGAGGUCCUCUGCAAUUUCUCAGGGAAAUACUUCCGGGAGACGCAGUCCUCAGUGCCUGGAGGUCUCUGGGUCCAGGUGAGUGUGGUGUGAGUAAUAAGCCUGCAUGGCUUACGCGCUGCAUGGGAAGUCCUGUAUCACAAUCACAACGUAUCAUAAAGUCGGAGGUUCACACAGGGCUGUU